rnacentral:tRNA from 1 species
GUUAAUGUAGCUUAACCCAAAGCAUGGCACUGAAGAUGCCAAGAUGGGGCGUAAAAACCCCCAAUAACA